rnacentral:rRNA from 1 species
AUUGAACGCUGGCGGCAGGCCUAACACAUGCAAGUCGAGCGGAGCGGCGGACGGGUGAGUAAUGCCUAGGAAUCUGCCUGGUAGUGGGGGAUCACGUCCGGAAACGGGCGCUAAUACCGCAUACUAUCAGAUAAGCCUCGGGCGGUUUAGCUAGUUCGUGGGGUAAAGGCCUACCAAGGCGACGAUCCGUAACUGGUCUGAGAGGAUGAUCAGUCACACUGGAACUGAGACAGGGUCCAGACGCCGACGGGGUGCAGCAGUGGGGAAUAUUGGACAAUGGGCGAAAGCCUGAUCCAGCCAUGCCGCGUGUGUGAAGAAGGUCUUCGGAUUGUAAAGCACUUUAAGUUGGGAGGCGUUACCAACAGAAUAAGCACCGGCUAACUUCGUGCCAGCAGCCGCGGUAAUAC